UAUUGCACAAUGGGGGAAACCCUGAUGCAGCGACGCCGCGUGAGUGAAGAAGUAUUUCGGUAUGUAAAGCCCUAUCAGCAGGGAAGAAGAAAUGACGGUACCUGAGUAAGAAGCACCGGCUAAAUACGUGCCAGCAACCGCGGUAAUACGUAUGGUGCAAGCGUUAUCCGGAUUUACUGGGUGUAAAGGGAGCGUAGACGGCUGUGCAAGUCUGAAGUGAAAGCCCGUGGCUCAACCGCGGAACUGCUUUGGAAACUGUAUAGCUUGAGUACUGGAGAGGCAGGCGGAAUUCCUAGUGUAGCGGUGAAAUGCGUAGAUAUUAGGAGGAACACCAGUGGCGAAGGCGGCCUGCUGGACAGAAACUGACGUUGAGGCUCGAAAGCGUGGGGAGCAAACAGG
rnacentral:rRNA from 1 species